UAUUUGUACCAGAUGCUCCUUUU
rnacentral:miRNA from 15 species